rnacentral:tRNA from 1 species
CAAAUUGGAGCUUGGUAAAGUUUUUCAUUUACAUUGAAAAGAUAUUGAUUAAUUCAAUUAAUUUGA